rnacentral:ncRNA from 1 species
GAAGUAACUUCCUCGACCUAUCUCAAACUUUAAAUGGGCAGAUCCAGUAGUUACUUAAUUGAACUAUUGGGGUCAAUGAGACGACUCUAAGUGGGCCAUUUUUGGUAAGCAGAACUGGCGAUGAGGGAUGAACCUAACGCUCGGUUAAGGUGCUAAACUGCUCGCUCAUCAGAUACCACAAAGGGUGUUGGUCGAUCUUAACAGCAGGACGGUGGUCAUGGAAGUCGAAAUCCGCUAAGGAGUGUGUAACAACUCACCUGCCGAAUCGACUAGCCCCGAAAAUGGAUAGCGCUGAAGCGAGUGACCGAUACCGGGCCAUUGUUGCAAGAUAAUUGGCAACAAUGAGUAGGAGGGCGUGGGGGUUGUGAAGAAGCUUGGACGUGAGUCUGAGUGAAACAGCUUCCAGUGCAGAUCUUGGUGGUAGUAGCAAGUAUUCAAUAAGAGAACAUUGAAGGCCGAAGUGGGGAAGGGUUCCAUGUGAACAGCACUUGGACAUGGGUUAGCCGAUCCUGAGAGACAGGUUAAAUUCCAUCGGAUUGGAGCUUUGGCUCUGUUUCUCGAAAGGGAAGCUGGUUAGUAUUCCAGCGCCGAGACGUGGAUAAUAUGUGGCAACACAAGUGAACUCGGACACGCCAUAGGGGACCCCAGGAAGCGUUGUCUUUUCUUUUUAACAGUUCGACUUACCCUGGAAUCAGAUCAUCUGGAGAUAGGGUUUUCGAACUGGAAUAGCACCUUGUCUAACAGGGUGUCUGGAGUGUUCUCGCUGGCCCUUGAAAAUCCGAGGGAUAGAUUUAUUCGCACUCUCGAUCGUACCCAUAACCGCAUCAGGUCUCCAAGGUUAGAAGCCUCUGGUCCGUAGGACAAAGUAGAUAAGGGAAGUCGGCAAAAUAGGUCCGUAACUUCGGGAAAAGGACUGGCUCUGAGGUUUGGUAUGUGGAACCUGGAUUAAUCGUUGGAGUCGAGCAGAGACUACUUGUUGCUCACGUGACUUGUGGACUCCUUGCUUGAUACCUUCAAUUGAUCCAGGCUGCUUCGGCGCUCUGCAUGCACUUAACAAACAGCUCAG